AAUCAAUUAAAACUAUGAAGCUGGAUAUGCUUUAAAGGACUCUCUUACAGAAGGCAAAACCUCGAAGCAGUAAUCAUCUGUUUGGGCGAAUGUGAUAAGUGAGCCAACCUGCGCAAACAGUUCGGCUCCGACUGGCUGGUCACUCAGCGAGCCGAGAGGCCACUCAGCACGAUCGAAAGGACGAUCGUGCUCUCUUGGAAUAAGGCAGCCGAGCGGACGGUCACACACAAAAAGGGCUUAGGAUUAAUAAAUUAUAUUAUUGUAUUGUUUUAAAUAA